rnacentral:RNase_P_RNA from 2 species
GCAGUAGGUCGGCUUGCCGCUACGUCCGUCUUGGACGGGGAGGAAAGUCCGGGCAACACAGAGCACUAUACUUCCUAACGGGAAGCUGUUCGCGAGGGCAGAGUAGGGUAACAGAGAAUAACCGCUUCGGCUUUGGCCGGAGUAAGGGUGAAAAGGCGGGGUAAGAGCCCACCGGUCCUUGCUGCAAGGCAGGGAGCCGUACUCCUUAUAGGUUGUAAGACCAUGUAUAUCAGCGCAUGUAGGGUUGCUCGCCCGAUGCUGAGGGGUAGGUCGCUAAAGCUUGCUGGUGACAGCAAGCGUAGAUAAAUGGUAAGCGUUUGGCUUCGGCCGAAAACAGAACCCGGCUUACAGGCUUACUGCAUUU